rnacentral:rRNA from 1 species
UACGGAGGUCUCAAGCGUUGUUCGGAUUCAUUGGGCGUAAAGGGUGUGUAGGUGGCGCGCUAAGUCGGGUGUGAAAUUUCGGAGCUUAACUCCGAAACUGCAUUCGAUACUGGCGUGCUUGAGGACUGGAGAGGAGACUGGAAUUCAUGGUGUAGCAGUGAAAUGCGUAGAUAUCGUAAGGAAGACCAGUGGCGAAGGCGGGUCUCUGGACAGUUCCUGACGCUGAGGCACGAAGGUCAGGGGAGCAAACGGG